rnacentral:tRNA from 1 species
GCCACCCUAGCUCAAUCGGUAGAGCAUCCGACUUGUAAUCGGAAGGUUGUCGGUUCGAUUCCGAUGGGUGGCUCCA